ensembl:lncRNA
AUGCAAGAGAUAGGUGGGGUAGAAAUGUCUGAAAUAAAUAAACAAAAUAAUGUAACUUAUGGGCCCCAAAUUGAUUUCCACUGUAUUGAAGGUUAUUACACGCCCCAAAUAAUAACAACAACAACUUUAUUUUUAUACCCCGCCUCCAUCUCCCCGAAGGGACUUGGAGUGGCUUACAUGGGAUCAAGCCCAAAUAAAAACAAUAACAAUAACAGUAUGACAAUACGACCUCUAUACCUGUGGGACCAAUCAGGACCGUAGCCUUAUAUAAUAUCCUUCUACCAAGUAUGUAGGUUGUGUGUUGAAUCACAUUUGUUUCAAUCAGACACAUAACCAGACACAUAAGUGCAGAAAAAGAAAGAAGAAUAAAAAUGUAAAGGUUCACAUUUUUGUAUUGUGUGGCAUUUUUUGGCCCCAGGGGAUAUCCUUCAUGUCUGUAUUUCCAUUUAAUCUGAAUGAGGCUAACCUACUGGUGACCAGAACAUGUGGCUUUUGCUUUGCUCAGAUGUGGGGCUUUUAUUUUCUUGCUCUCCAAGUAGAUUACAAUGUUGGAAUAAAAAAGUAGCAAUAUAGAAGUACUAAAUGCAAAAUGAAAAUAAAACAGCUUUAUUUGUAUCUCUUAAUUGCUGCUUGUUUUGGGUGAAAUUCUGUAUGUCGCAAGUGACUGAAAUUUGAAGACAUAUGCCAAGAUCCUGUGUUAGAUAGCAAGCUACCAUGUCAUUGAUGCAAUAUGAUCUAUCUUAACAGCCAGCCAGCACUUAAGGACAGAUCUGCAGUGCUGGCAAACAUGGCACUGAAAGAUGGCAUAUCCAUCCCCUCAUGCUAACAAGUGGCACAAGCAAGGAUCCUGCUUGUGGGCAGGGAAGGGCAGUACCAGUCACAUGUUGCCAGUGCGUAACCUAUUGCUGGCAGGAGGGGCCUGGGUAUGUCAUCUUUCAGCACCCCACUAACCAGCUCUACAGAAUUCAUUGCAGCUGGAUGAAUGUUAAGGAGAGAUUCAAAGCAUAUUUACAAUCAUGAAAAUGGUACCAUGGUUGCAAUUGUGAACAGGAGACAAUUACAGGCUAGAAAAUCUAACUUAGGAUGUUGUUUGCCAGCUGUUGCUUUACAGUUGUGCAGAUCAUGAUGUCAAAUAAUACGUUCAUUGUGUUAUAGAGCUGUUGGAUCUAUAACAAAAUAUAGCUCUGGAAGAGAGAAAUGUUCCAUCCUAAUCCAUAUUGAAAGACUAUCUGAACGUCCACCCUGGCUAUCAGAAGCGCAUUGUAUGAAUUUAGCUAUCUUUUUACAUCCUAGGCUAUGUUUGCCUGCAAGUAUUGGAGAAACACAAAUGGUGGUUUUCUGAUGUUUUAAGUUACUGCAGGGAACCUUGAGUUUUCAAGAACGUUCCUUUUUGUCCUUGUGAUCAACUCUGCCAUGAACUGAAAGGAUAAUGUUUGGUAGAGAAGAAAAGGCUUUCACUUGGUAACACUUAACUGUUUGGCCUGGAGAAAUACUCCGAAUGGUAAACGGAUGCUUUAAGUAAAAGCUGGUAAGCACCCAGGUACAGGCUUUAUCUCUGAUAUAAAGCACAUACAGGGAUGUUGCCAGAUACAGCAGUUUGAGUCUUUACAAACAGCAAGUCAAUACUGAUCUUAGCUAAAUUUAAUCUUUCUCUCGAUAGUUUACAUGGGCAAUUAUGUUCAGGCUUAAGGUAAGCUUCUGUCAAGUAAAAACACGGUUGUUUUGCAAUAGAAUGGAGCUGCAUGCAAGCUGCCCUUUACUGUUUCAGCUUUGCUUUUUCUCGGCUUAUAUCAUCAAGAUCCACUUAAAAAUGUGGAUGAAUUGGCAAUCAAGUGGGAAAUGUGUACAAUGUGACUGCCAAUCAUGUUUGCUUAAGUUUACAAAAAGCUGUAGGUUUCUUUAAUUAGGGGACAUCCCUAACAGAAUCUAAAAUGUCACCAGCAAGUGUGUGGGUUUUUUGUUGUGUUUUUAUGAAGCACUGUAUUUCAUAUACUUGAAAAAGAAAUUAAUCUGCCAUGAAGAAUACCCUCAAGUCACAUAUAAGGAUGAAAUGUUAAUAGAUGUAUAUGCAAGAAAUCUUGCAAUAUUAAAGCACUGCUGUAAAAUAAGUGAUCACUUGCUUUGCCCAAACUGAAAAAUGUCUUGCUGGUUUAUGCUUGUUUCUAUCAGUGGCAAAAUUAACCGUAUAUGCUGUUACCCAUCUGGCAGGAUACAGCGUGAAUACCAGUUUGAUAGAGCCUGAACAUUUUGACUUUAUCUUAACAGCUGCUUUACAAAUGUUUUCCUCCAAUGUCAUUACUUUAGGAAGACCACAUAAAUUCAGCAAGCAGCACUAUACUGGAAUAUAUAUAAAAGGAAGAAAAUGGUCGUGCUAAGUUAUUGCUUGUUCCUUAAUCUUACACAGCCUUAGCUAAUAAACUUGCAGGCAUUUCCUCUCUGGCCAGACUUGAAUCUCUUGCUUGGAAGAAUAGGUGAUAAUGAUGCAGGCUACGAUCAGAGAUUGAAAUUACAGUUUUAUGUGUUUCCUGAGCAAGAUGUACUGAAUUCCCAGACUGCAGAGAUCUUAACUUCUGGGGGAUAGUAAUUACAUUUUUCUAGACCUUUUGUGAUAAACCCAAUGGACACGUAAAUAUCAUGCUGGCUUCUCUUGUCUUUUCAUGAUUGUCUGCUUAAUAACUGCCUGUUUCACGGCUUCCACAUAAAAGAAUACAUUUACACCUUUCUAUACACAGGCAAUCUGAUUUGUGAGCCAGUGUAGUGGUUUGAGUGUUGGACCACAAUUCUAGAAUAUCAGGGUUGGAUUGGAUGUCCAAGAGACCACUGAAUCAUAGACACUCGUGGGGUGACCUUGAGCAAGGCACAUUCUCUCGAUCUCAGUGGAAGGCAGUAAUAAUGACAGUUUCCUCUGAACAAAUCUUGCAAAACAGUCCUGUGAUACGUUCAUCAUAGGAUUACCACAAAACAAUCAAGUCUUUGGCUGCUGGUAUGUUUACUGGAAGAUAUUGUCUCAACAUGGAUAAUACUGUUAAGUGCAACUGUACACUGCAGUGACUCUCAUUCAUCACCACUGGGAAUUGCAGUUAUCAUCAACAUCUGGAGAGCUCUUUGAUAAAUGGAGAGCCACUCUUUUUUUCCUAGGCUAGGCUGCCAUUUUGAUCUCCAUGAUGCAGUUAAAUAAGGCAAGGUAUGCUGGAAACCAUAGGAAGCAGGAGGUUAUUCUUUUCCUCCAUCUUCUCCAUGGGUGCUCAAAUGCAUUUGGGUGGAGCCCCACUCCCAUUGUGUGGUACGAGCAUACACCCAGGCAUGUUUCAAUUUGCUUUUUGUACUGGGGAAAGAGGAGCAGCUGAGGUGAGGAGAGUCAGAAUGUGUCCAUAUGCUGAUUGGCAAAUGGGAAGAUGGAGCUGUAGUGACAAGUUGUUGCACGUCUAGGCAAACAGAAUUGUUUGCGAUAGUAUACGAUACCUCCUUGUGCAACAUUUAAGAAACACAUUUUGGUUCCUGUGCAUAUCAUCAAAAGAAUAAAAGGAGCCUCCAGUAGCACAGUGGAUUAAACCCUUAUGCUGGCAGGACUGCUGACCAAAAGGUCGGUGGCUCAAAUCUGGGGAGUGGGGUGAGCUCCCAUCUGUCAGCUCCAGCUUCCCAUGUGGGGACAUGAGAGAAGCCUCCCACAGGAUGGUAAAACAUCCGGGCAUUCCCUAGGCAACAUCCUUGCAGACAGCCAAUUCUCUUGCAGUUUCUCAAGUCACUCCCGACACAAAAAAAUCAAAAGAAUCUCUGUAAUACCUAUUUAGUGGAAGUGUAUUCUAGGUGUGGA